UCGUGGAGUGAUUUGUCUGGUUUAUUCCGUUAACGAACGAGACCCUCGCCUGCUAAAUAAUCGCAUGUAAAAAUUUUUUAGAUGACGGUUUCUUAGAGGGACAUGUAGCAUUAAGCUACAGGAAGAUGAGGGCGAUAACA
rnacentral:rRNA from 1 species